CCUACGGGUGGCAGCAGUGAGGAAUAUUGGUCAAUGGGCGCGAGCCUGAACCAGCCAAGUAGCGUGAAGGAUGACUGCCCUACGGGUUGUAAACUUCUUUUAUAAAGGAAUAAAGUGAGGCACGUGUGCCUUUUUGUAUGUCCUUUAUGAAUAAGCCUCGACUAACUCCGUGCCAUCAGCCGCGGUAAUACGGAGGAUCCGAGCGUUAUCCGGAUUUAUUGGGUUUAAAGGGAGCGUAGAUGGGUUGUUAAGUCAGUUGUGAAAGUUUGCGGCUCAACCGUAAAAUUGCAAUGGAUACGGGAAGUCUUGAGUACAGGUGAGGUAGGCGGAAUUCGUGGUGUAGCGGUGAAAUGCUUAGAUAUCACGAAGAACUCCGAUUGCGAAGGCAGCUUACUAAACUGCCACUGACAUUGAUGCUCGAAAGUGUGGGUAUCAAACAGGAUUAGAUACCCCAGUAGUC
rnacentral:rRNA from 1 species